UUGCUUUAUAGCUUAGCCGGUAGAGCAUGAGACUCUUAAUCUCAGGGUUGUAUGUUCAAGCCUCUUGUUGGACAAA